AAAUUUUCGGGUAUCUCCGUGGUACCAUCUCCGUGCAAUUAUGCAGUAUGGCGUUCAUCUCUUACGGAAAGAGAAUGGUAACUUGAUACACUGUGUUUUGUGUGGAUAAGAAAUGCAGAGUGGUACCACCAAUCACCUAAGCCACCAUUCCCCUAACAGACAAUAGGCUCAUGGGGACAGUUCCUGCAAUUUACAGAAAAGCUCUCAAUUGUAGCCCUACGAACAUCAGAUACUGCCGAUGGUGAAGCUUGGGUGCACCGGGCCGGUUUUCCAGCCGUGUGGAAUCAACAUCUCCAGCUGAACUGGGGCCGGGAAUUAUAUAAGACUCCUUAGCAGCAUGAGUGCCAGCCAGUCAUUGCUGUUCUUUGCAUUGCUGAGGAGGACAGUCCUGCCAACAUAACAGUUUGUUCAAUAACAGGAGACAAACAGAAACACAGAGGUGCUAUACAUUCUGAUGGAAAAACAAAAGCAUCUCCCAUCAUUUUGGCGUGGCUCAGAUCAAGAGGAGAAUUUUAAGAAAGGUGAUGGUUGGGCACACACAAGAAGACAUAGAUCACAGGUGUCUAGCCAUAUGAGUAGAUAGGAGUGUCACACUCUGCCAAACUUACUUCAUCAGACGAGCAGAAAGCUUCUCAAGAUCCCGCACUGCACACUAAGACAUAGUCUUUGACUACAACAAGGUGAUGAAAGUACAGAGAGGUCCAAUUGAAAUCAAUUCUGUGCUGCGUCAUUUCUUCAUUCUGGAAGUCGAUGGACGUGAUAUAUCAUGGCAUAAAGUGUGCAGUUUGCCGACUAUCAGCAGUCUUGUUCACCAGCUGUGCAACUUGAGCUGGUAGCUUUAUUGCUUGAAGCCACUGCAUAAGAGGAGGAAGGUGCAGGCUCAUCAAAAAGUCUCAAAAGUUGAAACUAGGAAAAGAAGUUUAUCAAGAGUGUGAAUCUAUUUUGAAAACAAUCGUUACAAUGAUUUGGUUUCCUUUGAAACUUGAUACAUACUAUGAAUUGAGAUGCUUAAAUAAAAAAACGCAAUUCAAAUAUCAGGAAACUGCCUUUUUCAUACUAAAGGGUAAAUGAUGUCGCCAUUUCCUGUAUGUAUUUAAAUAAGAUAUGUCUCCACAAUUAAUAUUUUUAGGGAAUUUUUCUCAACCUAAUGACUGAGAUUAAAUUGUACAGCGUUAUAUGAGCUUAAUAUGUGUUUUCUCAUUCUUUAAAAUUGGUGAAAAAUUGUCAGAAGAUAAUGAGACCAGUAUCCAUUACUGCAAUCAUACAAUCAAAUAUACAGGGACAAGCCCACUGGGCAUAUAAUAUAAUUAAACCCUGUUCAGGGGCACGAGGCAAACAGAGUUACUUUCAAACGUUAAAGCUGCACUCUCACACUUUAGAUGUUUAGACCUUUUUCAUUUUAUGUCUUGGAUUGGAACCAUCCAAUUUUUGCGAAAAUUAAAUCCCAGAUUUUUCUAUUUAAGUUAAAACAUUGAUGUUUUUUAUGCACUUUUCUUAAACCGUUAGUAACAUUAAUUUUUGAACGGAAAUAUGAAAUCUGCGAUCUGAUCUUUUGUCAGCAAUCUUUUAUCAUUGGUUUGCAGAUAAUUACGCAAAAACUUAAUCAUUCCAAGACAAAAAAAGUUGUGGAAACGGUAUAUUUGUGAGAGUGCAGCUCUAAAUGUUUAAUUGCUUGAUUUUACUACUGUAUUAGAAAUUACAGGGAUUGGGGUAUAUUUUUAGUGUUUUUAUUGCUUGUUUUUGAUUCAUACAGUCAUACUUUAUUCUUCAGGGCACAACUUACAAAUAGACAAAACUGGAAAAUGGUCAUAUCAAAAGGUCAAAGAUAAUGCAAGUUGAACAAUCAUAUUGUUCAUGGCUUGUAUUUUUGGUAUAUUUUGUUGCAUAUGCUAUAGAAAAGUUGAAAGUUAAAAAUAAAUUCAUAGUUGAAAUGAUGGCUUUGAAUGGUAUUGUCAGAUGAGAAACGGCACUAUUAAGAAAUAGGUAUAAUGGUACUUUAUUUAUUUUAAUCAAUUUUAGAUAUUAUGAAAAUUAUUAUCUUAUUUAGUACAUGAGACCUUUUAAACAGUUAUUGACAAUAUAACAAUGUGUAUAUGAAGCUUUAGAUCAACACUUAAAGCUGCACUCUUACAGAUUGUCAGUUUAGACACAAAAUUGUCUCAAAAUCGGCUGAUUUGGUUAUCAUUCCUUUAAUUCAGUCAUAUUAGAUAAUUCACAAUAGAACCAAUCAAAAAUGUUUGGUAAAACUGCCGAAAAGUUCAUUUACAUUAAAUUGUUCGUAAUGCUUUUAGUCAUUGUUCGUAAUGCUUUUAGUCAUAAAACAUCAUUUUUUUAACAUAAAUAUGAUGAACUGCAAUCUGAUCUUUUUUCAGCAGUCUUAUAUCACUUAAAAUUGGGUCUAGACAUUUCUGCAAAAAAUAAUCCAUUCAUAGACAAACAAUAAAAGAGUACCGGUAGUCAAAACGAUCAAUCGGUGAGAUUGCAGCUUUAAAUACACCUUUUAAGACCGCUGUAAAAUUCCAAUGGUUUGCCUAAAUCUUUAAAGCUAGCAUACUGUUUAAUUGACAACCAUACUUAUUGUUUAAAAGUGUCAUGAUAUCUUUGUACAAUGUUUUUAUAUAAUUCAUUAAAGAAGUCAAAACAAAUUUGUUUAUCUUGUAAUUUGUUAUCUAUUAUUUAAAUGACUCAGACAAAAAUGGGAACGUCAGUGCUAGUUCUUUUACUAUUAACAUCCCAUGAAGUUUCUAUUGGUGUAGCAGCAAGGAGGUGUUACAUUAAGGAUGCAUCAUUUAAACCAAA